CACGUAGGCGGAUCGGAAAGUUGGGAGUGAAAUCCCGGGGCUCAACCCCGGAACUGCCUCCAAAACUAUCGGUCUAGAGUUCGAGAGAGGUGAGUGGAAUUCCGAGUGUAGAGGUGAAAUUCGUAGAUAUUCGGAGGAACACCAGUGGCGAAGGCGGCUCACUGGCUCGAUACUGACGUUGAGGUGCGAAAGUGUGGGGAGCAAACA
rnacentral:rRNA from 1 species